UACGAAGGGGGCAAGCGUUGUUCGGAUUUACUGGGCGUAAAGGGCGCGUAGGCGGAUGCGUAAGUCAGAGGUGAAAGCCCUGGGCUCAACCCGGGAAUUGCCUUUGAGACUGCGUGUCUUGAGUAUGGGAGAGGGUGGCGGAAUACCCAGUGUAGAGGUGAAAUUCGUAGAUAUUGGGUAGAACACCAGUGGCGAAGGCGGCCACCUGGCCCAUAACUGACGCUGAGGCGCGAAAGCGUGGGGAGCAAACAGG
rnacentral:rRNA from 1 species